CUAGGAGGGCUCAAGCCAAGGAGUACUUCCCAGAACUUCUACUGCCAGUGUUCUUGUCCCCACGGUGAGCCACAGCCACCCCCUGCCUCUGUAGGAGACCCUCUAACACUAGCAGAGGGGCGGAUACUGAAGAACCAAGAACCAAAUAUCUCUCAGAGACAGAUAAUCUCCAGAUUGAAGCGAGCAUCGUCCGCACGCUCGGGGCUCAGAAAGAAAUCGGCAACAUCAGACUGUCCACCUUCCUCCCAGAGAAAGGACGAAAGUAGCGUUCAAAGAAGUAGAGUUCAAAGAAGGUUCAAUAAUAGCCUUCGGGGGUCCCCAAAGAGGCUUCCUUAGCGAGACAUGACUCUGACACUUUUGCAGAAAACUUCAUCUUUCGUAACAGUGAUAAUAAUACUACAGCUUUAAGAAGUACUUCUAAAGUUUGGGGGAAAAGCCUGCUCACCCGGAGGCAAGAAACAACUCAUGUUAGAUGAUCCAUUAACCCCUGAACAAGGCCUAUAAACGAAAUGGUUUACAGAGAAAGGAAUUAAAGAAUUUACAAUCUUUGUCAAAACCCCCAAAUAACUCCUGUGAUUUCUCUGUUCCAAAUAAAGAAUCAUAGGCAGA